CCUACGGGAGGCAGCAGUGGGGAAUAUUGGACAAUGGGCGCAAGCCUGAUCUAGCCAUGCCGCGUGAGUGAUGAAGGCCCUAGGGUCGUAAAGCUCUUUCGCUGGGAAGAUAAUGACGGUACCAGCAGAAGAAGCACCGGCUAACUACGUGCCAGCAGCCGCGGUAAU
rnacentral:rRNA from 1 species